CUCUAGAGGAGCUGGAGAGAAAUAAUUCCAGCUGUAAGAAGUUCUCCUGUUUUACUGGAGAAAGGUGCCUGAGUCUGAGGAUGGUCAGGAGAUGGAAGUGGCUCUUGGAACAGCAAGAUGGAAAAUCUUAGGCAUUUUAUGGAAAUAGCAGAGCUGUGACUUGCCAUCAGUUCAGCCCUCAGCCAAGCAAGUAAUGGAGCUCAGUUCUUCAAAGUUUCCCCAGUGAUGUAUUGACUAGAUUGCUUUACCUCUGAGUGAGAAGCCUGUCUCGAUACUCUUGCUGUUAUUUGGCCUGAGACCAACUAGCAACUGCAGCAGUUUCCAGCAGGUGGUUUUCCUGGAAGUCAACUUAAGGAGUCGUGCUUUCCUCUCAUUCUGAUCCUCUGCUGU